AGUCAUAUGCUUGUCCUAAAGAUUAAGCCAUGCAUGUGUACGUUCAAGCCCUUGUACGGUGAAACUGCGGAUGGCUCAUUAUAUCAGUGAUAAUUUGGUUGAUGGAGAGAUAUCGUGGAUAACCGUGGUAAUUCUAUGGCUAAUACAUGCAGAGCAGACGCAAGUCUGGCAUUUAUUAGAUAAAGCCUUGGCGGCGGGGUAGCCCGUCGCUGCGGUGAGAGAUGAUAACUGGGCGGAAUCCGCUUUGGCGCGACGCAUCAAGGAAAUUUCUGCCCUAUCAACUGUGGACGGUAGGAUCGAGGCCUACCGUGGUGGUGACGGGUACGGGGAAUCGGGGUUUGAUUCCGGAGAGGGAGCCUGAGAGAUGGCUACCACUUCCAAGGAAGGCAGCAGGCGCGCAAAUUACCCAAUCCCGAGGCGGGGAGGUAGUGACAGGACAUGACGGGGCGGGGCCUGAUGGCUCUGCGACUGGAAUGAGGAAAAGAUAAAGCGAUUGACGAUUAACGAUUGGAGGGCAAGUCUGGUGCCAGCAGCCGCGGUAAUUCCAGCUCCAAUAGUAUACAUUAAAGUUGUUGCAGUUAAAACGCUCGUAGUCGGAAGGUGGGGGGCCGGGGGCGGAGCAGGGAGACCUGGAUCUGCGGCUGGCCCCUUUCGGCAGGUGCAUAAAACACCCGCCGCGUUACUGUGAGGAAAUUAGAGUGUUCAAAGCAGGCGUACGCUUGGAUAGGUUAGCAUGGAAUAACGGAGAGGUCCGUUGGUUGGAGCUUGGGUUGAUAGGGACAGUUGGGGGCAUUGGUAUUUGGCAGUCAGAGGUGAAAUUCUAGGAUUUGCCAAAGACGGACGGGGGCGAAGCAUUUGCCAAGGAUGUUUUCAUUGAUCAAGAACGAAAGUUGGGGGAUCGAAGACGAUUAGAUACCGUCGUAGUCUCGACCGUAAACGAUGCCGGCGUGGGGUGGGGAGGGGGAUAGGCUUCUCUCUACCCCAUGGAGAAAUCAGAGCGUGUGGGUUCUGGGGGGAGUAUGGUCGCAAGGCAGAAACUUGAAGGAAUUGACGGAAGGGCACCACCAGGAGUGGAUGCCUGCGCUUAAUUUGACUCAACACGGUUAAAACUCACCAGGUCCGGACAUGGGAAGGAUUGACAGACUGAGAGCUCUUUCACGAUUCUGUGGGAGGUGGUGCAUGGCCGUUGUUGGUUGGUGGAGUGAUUUGUCAAGGUUUAAUUCCGGUAAACGGGCGAGACGGGGGGGAAGUGGAUGGGCGGGCAAGAUGGCGACAAUUUGUUGGGCCCCCACUGCGACACGCGGCGCCAAGCCGCGGGAAGCGCCCCGCAAUAACAGGUCUGUGAUGCCCUUUGAUGUUCUGGGCUGCACGCGCGCUACACUGGCAGGGGGAGCGGGGGCCUGCGCCGAGAGGCGUGGGGAAUUCGGGAACGCCUGCCGUGCUGGGGAUAGAGGAUUGCAAUUGUUUGUCUUGAACGAGGAAUUCCUAGUAGGCGCGGGUCACUAGCUCGCGUCGACUACGUCCCUGCCCUUUGUACACACCGCCCG
rnacentral:rRNA from 1 species